CAGUAGCCGCGGUAAUACGGAGGGUGCAAGCGUUAUCCGGAUUUAUUGGGUUUAAAGGGUCCGUAUGCGGACUUAUAAGUCAGUGGUGAAAGCCUGUCGCUUAACGAUAGAACUGCCAUUGAUACUGUAAGUCUUGAGUAUAUUUGAGGUAGCUGGAAUAAGUAGUGUAGCGGUGAAAUGCAUAGAUAUUACUUAGAACACCAAUUGCGAAGGCAGGUUACCAAGAUAUAACUGACGCUGAGGGACGAAAGCGUGGGUAGCGAACAGGAUUAGAUACCCGUGUAGUCCCUGUCUCUUAUAC
rnacentral:rRNA from 1 species